CUCUCCCGAAAAGGAGAGGUCACUUCGGGUGGACAAUGCACAGGUGCUGCAUGGCCGUCGUCAGCUCGUGUCGUGAGAUGUUUGGAGUAAGUCCAGCAACGAGCGCAACCCCUGUGAACUGUUGCCAGCGCGUAAAGGCGGGGACUCUGUUCAGACUGCCCAGAUCAACUGGGAGGAAGGUGGGGACGACGUCAGGUCAGUAUGGCCCUUACGCCUAGGGCUGCACACGUACUACAAUGCCCAGCACAAUGAGAACCGAUACCGCAAGGUGGAGGAAAUCUGCAAAACUGGGCCCAGUUCGGAUUGGAGGCUGCAACUCGCCUCCAUGAAGUCGGAAUCGCUAGUAAUGCCGUAUCAGCUACGACGGCGUGAAUA
rnacentral:rRNA from 1 species